CUGCAUACUUCCUGCUAACAAUUCACUGUAAUUUAUAAAUUUACUGGCUUUCCAUUUUAUGUUUCUAUUACAGAUCAGAGCAAAAGUCAUCCAUCAAAGUGUCUGUGCCCUGCAUCAUCCAUCCCUUUGAAUAAAGGGAUCUAUCAGUAUGAUAAGAUAGCAUCACCCUGAUGGUGUUACCUGAUAUGGCAAAAAUGAUUUUGACAUCCCUAACUGGUUGACUUUGAAUUGAUCAAAAGGGAGAUUGUCCUGGGCCUGAGUAAUUGGUACGACCCCUUUAAAAGGGACUGGCGCUGGGUGUGGUGGCUCAUGCCUGUAAUCCCAGCACUUUGGAAGGCUGAGGCGGUUGGAUCGUCUUAGGUCAGGAGUUCAAGACCAGCCUGGCCAACAUGGAGAAACCCUGCCUCUACUAAAAAUACAAACAUUAGUCAGGUGUGGUGAUGCAUGCCUAUAAUCCCAGCUACUCUGGAGGCUAAGGCAGGAGAGUCACUUGAACCCAAGAGGCAGAGGUUGCAGUGAGCUGAGAUUGCACUACUGAACUCCAGCCUUGGUGACAGAGCAAGACUGUCUCAAAAGGAAAAAAAGAGUGGUGGCCGGGCGCGGUGGCUCACGCCUAUAAUCCCAGCACUUUGGGAGGCCGAGGCAGGUGGAUCACAAGGUCAAGAGAUUGAGACCACCUAGGUCAACAUGGUGAAACCCCAUCUCUACUAAAAAUACAAAAAAUUAGCUGGGCGUGGUGGCGCGUGCCUGUAAUCCCAACUACUCAGGAGGCUGAGGCAGGAGAAUUGCCUGAACCCAGAAGGCCUGAACCCAGAAGGCGGAGGUUGCGGUGAGCCAAGAUCGCGCCAUUGCACUCCAGCCUGGGUAACAAGAGCAAAACUCCGUCUCAAAAAAAAAAAAAGAAAGAGUGGCUGAGGUCUUCCCUGAAGUCAGAGAAGUUCUGCCAGCCUUGAAGAAGCCGGCUACAUGUUGUGAGCGGCCCACAUCGGGGCCGCAUGGGCAGGACCCAGAGCAAGCAGGAAAACUCAGCCGACAGCCUGAAUAAGCUCAGAAGCGGGUCUUCCUUGGCAGAGCUCCAGAGGACACAGUAUUCAAGUACUAUCUUGGAAGCAGAGACAGCAACCUUCACCAGACACCGAGCUUGCUGGCACCUUGAUCGUGGACAUCCAGCCUCCAGAACUGUGAGAAAUAAAUUUCUGUUUUUUAAAAAUUACCCAGUCUCAGCUAUUUUUUGAUAGACACAUUAAUGGAUUAAGGCAAGACUCGGCUGGGGGCUGUGGCUCAUGCCUAUAGUCCCAGCACUUUGGGAGGCGGAGGUGGGCAGAUCAUGAGGUCAGAGAUCGAGACCAUCCUGGCCAACAUGAUGAAACCCCGUCUCUACUAAAAAUACAAAAAUUAGCCAGGCAUGGUGGCGGGUGCCUCUAGUCCCAGCUACUUGGGAGGCUGAGCAGGAGAAUCGCUUGUACCCAGAAGGCAGAGGUUGCAGUGAGCCCAGAUCGCGCCACCGCACUCCGGCCUGGUGACAGAGCCUCAUCGUUGGAAUCAGAAACCUCAUAAAAGGACUUCAGAGAGUAGUUUGUUCUCUUCUGUCUUUUUUAGACAGGAGAGUCUUUCUCUUGAGUCUUUUUUAGACUCAAUCUAAAAAAAAAAAAAAUAAAGACAAGACUCAACACUAUCA
rnacentral:lncRNA from 13 species